rnacentral:rRNA from 1 species
CUACGGGUGGCAGCAGUGGGGAAUAUUGGACAAUGGGCGAAAGCCUGAUCCAGCCAUGCCGCGUGUGUGAAGAAGGCCUUCGGGUUGUAAAGCACUUUCAGUGGGGAAGAAAGCCUUGGGGCUAAUACCCUCGAGGAAGGACAUCACCCACAGAAGAAGCACCGGCUAACUCCGUGCCAGCAGCCGCGGUAAUACGGAGGUUGCGAGCGUUAAUCGGAAUUACUGGGCGUAAAGCGCGCGUAGGCGGUCUGAUAAGCCGGUUGUGAAAGCCCCGGGCUCAACCUGGGAACGGCAUCCGGAACUGUCAGGCUAGAGUGCAGGAGAGGAAGGUAGAAUUCCCGGUGUAGCGGUGAAAUGCGUAGAGAUCGGGAGGAAUACCAGUGGCGAAGGCGGCCUUCUGGACUGACACUGACGCUGAGGUGCGAAAGCGUGGGUAGCAAACAGGAUUAGAUACCCCAGUAGUC